UUAGAUUAAUCAUUAAUCAUUAGUUCUCUAUUAAAUCUAUAACCAUUCUGUGAUUCUCAUGCUUGAUUGAGUUCUAUUUUUGAACGUAUACUUGACUGAAUUUUUUUCAGGUCUACUCUUCAUGGGAAGGGAUUAAACAGAUUCUAGUCUAACAUUAAAGGUUGCUAUAGAAGCUCUACAUAUGUCUUUGCUAUAAGCCCAAUUUUCCACAUAUUUCCACCUUCUGGGAAGGACAAGAAUUUUGUAUAUAGCCACCUGCAUCCUACGGGGAAAUAUGAAGCACAUCCAAAGCCAAUGGAUAUCGUUUAGCAGCUAGAGUCUAGUAGGAUUAACCAGAUUUUUCUUUUGGGAAAACAUAUACAAGGUGUGUUUCUUUCUUUCUUUCUUUCUUUUUUUGGAAACUCACUCGUCUCUCUAGUGAUCCCAACUUGCUCUCCAACUUUCUUUCUUUUUUUGUAUCAUGGUUCUGAAUAUUGAUUGAUACUAAAUCGACUUGAUGUUAGUGGAGAAUGAAAUGUGUCAUUAGCAAGUCACAUUCCAAAACCAGACUGAGUCUGAACAAUUCUAACUGAGUUGGAAUGAGUUGGGUGACUGAUACUGGUUUUGAUCUCUAGGUGACUUGCACUUUAGAACUUAUGCUUAAAACCAUGUUCUCUAUCAUUGAUUUCUUUGAGAAUUGUCAAUCAGUUGUGAAGGUAAUACGAUGUUGGUACAUGAUAGAAGAGAACCUUUUUUUGGAGAAUUGUUCAUAAUCAUUUCGUAAUCAUUUUCCAUUUUCAACAAGUAUUUGAAAAUGAGAUCGAGUGUUAUGUCCUGUAUACUUUUUAUUUCUAUUUAUACAGACUAACAUUUCAAUUUUAUCCUAUUUUGAUAUAUCCAGGGGCUACUCAGAAUUCAAUCAAGGUUGCCCAUGUCAAGAUAAGAUUGCCGAUUUUGAGAUGAAGCUCAUGGACAUUGACAACAAGCAUCUUGGAAUUCCAGAAGCAGAGUAUCAUGCCAUUGUAAAGAUGCCAUCAGGCUCGCCAAAGAAUCCUAACCUCUGAAUCGUAGACGCUUAUGGACAGCUAACACACAAAGAUACAAUGAUGUAGUUGUUGGAUUGAAUGAUACCACAUAAAAUCUAUUGACAUCUCUGGAUAGGAAUGAAGCGGAAAUAUCUCCGUUGACGUUGUAAGAGAUGCCAU